CCUACGGGAGGCAGCAGUGGGGGAUAUUGUACAAUGGGGGGAACCCUGAUGCAGCGACGCCGCGUGGGUGAAGAAGCGCCUCGGCGCGUAAAGCCCUGUCAGCAGGGAAGAAAAUGACGGUACCUGAAGAAGAAGCCCCGGCUAACUACGUGCCAGAAGCCGCGGUAAUACGUAGGGGGCAAGCGUUAUCCGGAUUUACUGGGUGGAAAGGGGGCGCAGACGGCGAUGCAAGCCAGGAGUGAAAGCCCGGGGCCCAACCCCGGGACUGCUCUUGGAACUGCGUGGCUGGAGUGCAGGAGGGGCAGGCGGAAUUCCUGGUGUAGCGGUGAAAUGCGUAGAUAUCAGGAGGAACACCGGUGGCGAAGGCGGCCUGCUGGACUGCAACUGACGUUGAGGCCCGAAAGCGUGGGGAGCAAACAGGAUUAGAUACCCGAGUAGUC
rnacentral:rRNA from 1 species